rnacentral:rRNA from 1 species
AAGCGGAGGAAAAGAAACCAACAGGGAUUGCCCCAGUAACGGCGAGUGAAGCGGCAACAGCUCAAAUUUGAAAUCUGGCCCCCCGGCCCGAGUUGUAAUUUGGAGAGGAUGCUUUUGGCGCGGCGCCGUCCGAGUUCCUUGGAACAGGACGCCACAGAGGGUGAGAGCCCCGUACGGACGGACGCCUAGCCUCUACAAAGCUCCUUCGACGAGUCGAGUAGUUUGGGAAUGCUGCUCAAAAUGGGAGGUAAAUUUCUUCUAAAGCUAAAUACCGGCCAGAGACCGAUAGCGCACAAGUAGAGUGAUCGAAAGAUGAAAAGCACUUUGAAAAGAGGGUUAAAAAGUACGUGAAAUUGUUGAAAGGGGAA